UGCCAUCCCCCCCCCCCCGCCCCCAACCCCAUCCUCACCCUAAGCUGGGCCUGUAGCUACAGUGGGAUUUUGUAGGCAGCACUGGAGGUGGGGAAGUGACUGAUCGGGUGAAUGUCCCCUGUUGUCUCCAGAGCUAAUCAGAGGGCAAGCUACCUUUCCCCACGUUUCCCUCAUCCCAUUCAUUCAUUUGACAGGUACUUGCGGAGCUCCUCCUGUCCACUGGGUGCUUUUCACGGUACUGGGAACAUGGCAAGGUGCAAGACAGGCCAAGUCCUUGCUCCACUCCAAUAAACACAGCCGGGAUAAGAAGUGUGGCCCCCCCCACAGGGUGGCUGCCAGGAUUCAAUGAGGUAAGACCUGUGAAGCCUACAGCUGGGGGCCUGGAACACGAAUGAAUGAACGAAUGAACGAAUGAACGAACAAAUGAAGGAAUAAGGAAUGGACUUUCCUAAGCCCGUGAACGGUCCAUCAUCGACUCCUAUCGGUUUCAUUGCCUCAGUCUCACCAGAACCUGCCCCAUCACCGCAUCCACACGUGGCCUCUCCUGGAAAGCUCUGGGGCCCCUCCAAUCCAUUCCUCGCCACCCUGCACCACUGCAAUCGUUCCAAAACAAAAGCGUGCAAACAUGGUCCAUCUGUGCUGGAAACACUCCUGUCCUGCCCGCUGCUCUGAGAAAGAAGUGAAGAAGGUGCUGGUCCAGCCUCUCCCUGCUCCCCCCUCUCCACCCUCCUCAGGGUGCUCCCCACUGUUCCUGGGACAAACUCAACCCCACUUCUUCUCCCUGGGAACUUCUAGGCAACCUGCAGAUCUUAGCCCCCACGUGCCCUCCUCGGGGAUCCAUGUGGAAUUAGACCUCAGGUCUGUCUUCCUGAUGACUGGGAACUCUGAAGUGCUCACCAUUAUAUCCCCAGUGCCCAGCACGGGGCUUGACACACAGUAGAAGCACAGUAAAUACACGCUGGAUGAUCUACUGAAUCUAGCCAGUUGCCCAUGCGGAGGCUGUGGCCCUCACAGCAAGCCAGUCAGGCUGGUGUGACAUGCCCAUUUUACAGGUGGGUAAACAGAGGCCCAGAGAGCCCAAGGAACCUGCCUGCAGUCACAAAGCUGGUGAGUGUCAGUAGAGAUUGACGCCCACAAUCAUCCACCUCUUAACAACAAUGCUCGGUGUUCACACCACUGCAGCCUGCAGAGAUGGUUAAUAUCUGUGCACGAUAAAAUUGGGCAGACAGCUUAUUACCAACUAACUGCAAUUCACUAAGCCAACAUUCUAAAUCGACAAUGAAGCUCUCGUUCCACACAGAGCCUUUCAGGGGCUUUUUCUUUUUCUUUUAAGUUUAUUUAUUUAUUAUUUUGAGAGAGACGGGGAAAGGGGUGAGAGAGAAGGGGA